CACUGUUUCCAAACCAUAGCCAGAUCACAUCUCAGAAGCUAAGCAGAGUUGGGCCUGGGUAGUACUUGGAUGGGAGACUGCAGGGAAUACCAAGUGCCAAAGUGG
rnacentral:rRNA from 1 species